rnacentral:rRNA from 1 species
GAUGAACGCUGGCGGCGUGCCUAAUACAUGCAAGUCGAGCGAACAGAUGAGGAGCUUGCUCCUCUGACGUUAGCGGCGGACGGGUGAGUAACACGUGGAUAACCUACCUAUAAGACUGGGAUAACUUCGGGAAACCGGAGCUAAUACCGGAUAAUAUAUUGAACCGCAUGGUUCAAUAGUGAAAGACGGUUUUGCUGUCACUUAUAGAUGGAUCCGCGCCGCAUUAGCUAGUUGGUAAGGUAACGGCUUACCAAGGCAACGAUGCGUAGCCGACCUGAGAGGGGGAUCGGCCACACUGGAACUGAGACACGGUCCAGACUCCUACGGGAGGCAGCAGUAGGGAAUCUUCCGCAAUGGGCGAAAGCUUGACGGAGCAACGCCGCGUGAGUGAUGAAGGUCUUCGGAUCGUAAAACUCUGUUAUUAGGGAAGAACAAAUGUGUAAGUAACUAUGCACGUCUUGACGGUACCUAAUCAGAAAGCCACGGCUAACUACGUG